UUACGGCCACAUCUCGUUGAAACACCGAUUCCCAUACGAUCAACGAAGAUAAGCAACGUCAAACCUAGUCAGUACCUAGAUGGGUGACCUGUUGGGAAUACCAAGUGUUGUAAG